rnacentral:rRNA from 1 species
AGAACGAACGCUGGCGGCAUGCCUAACACAUGCAAGUCGAACGAGACCUUCGGGUCUAGUGGCGCACGGGUGCGUAACGCGUGGGAAUCUGCCCUUAGGUACGGAAUAACAGUGAGAAAUUACUGCUAAUACCGUAUGAUGUCUUCGGACCAAAGAUUUAUCGCCUAGGGAUGAGCCCGCGUUGGAUUAGCUAGUUGGUGGGGUAAAGGCCUACCAAGGCGACGAUCCAUAGCUGGUCUGAGAGGAUGAUCAGCCACACUGGGACUGAGACACGGCCCAGACUCCUACGGGAGGCAGCAGUGGGGAAUAUUGGACAAUGGGCGAAAGCCUGAUCCAGCAAUGCCGCGUGAGUGAAGAAGGCCUUCGGGUUGUAAAGUCUCUUUUGGCGGGACGAUGAUGACGGUACCCGCAGAAUAACGCCCGGCUAACUUCGCGCCAGCACCGC